rnacentral:misc_RNA from 1 species
GAAAUGCGAUAAUUAAUGUGAAUUGCAGAAUUCAGUGAAUCAUCGAGUCUUUGAACGCACAUUGCGCCCCCUGGUAUUCCGGGGGGCAUGCCUGUCCGAGCGUCAUUGCUGCCCUCAAGCACGGCUUGUGUGUUGGGCUUCCGUCCCUGGCAACAGGGGACGGGCCCAAAAGGCAGUGGCGGCACCAUGUCUGGUCCUCGAGCGUAUGGGGCUUUGUCACCCGCUCCCGUAGGUCCAGCUGGCAGCUAGCCUCGCAACCAAUCUUUUUAACCAGGUUGACCUCGGAUCAGGUAGGGAUACCCGCUGAACUUAAGC